GUACUCCCUUCCAAAAGGAGUGGCAAUAGUGGUUAGACCUUUAGUUUCCUCUGCUGCUCUCAAAUGGCAGGAAUGUUGCCUGGGUGGUGGAAGGUACACAGACAAACUGGUGCUACGUCAAUCUGCUGGAUAUACUUGAAUGAUCUAGUUUGGUGACAGGACAUACUUAUUGGGAUUCUACAGUUACGAUGAGGCGUCAGGUUUAUGGGUGACUGACUCUACUGUGGGGGAAUCUAGAGGCAGAAAUCUUCAAAGUGCCAGAAAGACAGACCGUGUCUGGACCCAGAUCGUCACUACUGUACUUCUGCUGCUGCUCUCACUAAACUACCAAGACAUGGUCCUCUGGAGUCUACUCCCAAUCUCCCUCUCCCUGGUGUCUCUCAUUGGCACAUGGGUGACGUAUGGCCUGGCUUACAGCUAUGACCAUGUGUGUUCCCUCAACAACUGGGCCCCUGGGAACCCCUGCGGAAACAAUACAACUAUGGCAUGUUGUCAAGUUCCCACCAUAAGCACGAGUGGAACAAGCUCACCAGAAAACUCUUUCUUCACAGCCACCAUCAAUGCUGCUUCAUUUCUGUUUAUGGUGUUCUGUAUCUUCCACCAUGCUCACAUCUUGGAGAGGAACAGUGUCCACUCCAUGCUCAGUAGAAUCGCCCUGGUGUUUGGUGGAGUGGCAGCCAUCGGGGCCUUCGUGGCUGGGAACUGCAAUCCCGCGUACCUAACGCUGGCCCAUUACCUGGGGGCUGCGGUGAGCUUCCUGUGUAUCUGUUUCUACAGCCUGCUCCUCACGGUGCUCACAGGGAAGUGUGUUCUGACCCGGAUGGAGUGGUUCCUCUACCCAGCACGGGUCAUGUCUACUGCGGUCCAAAUCAUUGUCACUAUUGGCUAUGCAAUCUUGUUUGUACAGGAGGAAUACAUGUACAAGCACUCAGCGGCCGUGUUUGAGUGGAUACUGAGCGUCAACCUGGAGCUGUUUGAGCUCAGCUUCGCUGUUGAGUUCUGUUUCUUCUCCUCCUCCAUGUUGUGUAUGCUGCUGGGGAAGAAAGAUGAGGAGGAGCCUAUCCUUCUGGCCUGAGAAGAUAAGAUGCUACUGGGCUGGGGGAGACCCACUGUAAGAGACACUUGGGUCAUGUGAUGCAUGAAAUGGAAGAAAACGUUCCAAAACGGAGACCAGCUGGACUUGUCCAUUUAAGAGUCGGUUAAAAAAAAAUCACGUUGUGCCCUAAUGAAAUAACCCAGUAGUUUACAAACUUUUCUAUGUUGUGACCGAUCUAAAGCUUGUGGAAUUGGACCAACCAAGUAAAGGGAACAAUUGUUUGUAACCGGUUCUGGCUGUGACCAAAAAACGAAUCAGCUGAAUCGUCCACGACCCACCGUUUGGGGAAACACUGACCUAGUGGAAUCAAAGAUGGGGAUCAUACAUAACCUUUGAUCUCGUUCUCAGACCAAGUCUUAUUAUUGAGGAUGAUUUAAAAAAAUAAAUAAUCAGGGCUGAAAACAUUUUUCUUAUGCAGUCCCUAAAUACAAAACGAAAGAUGAGUUAUUCGGGUCACAACAAAUCAAAGUAUUUCUGAAAGCUUUGGAAAAGGAAAACUGUCAAUCCUACAACUUUCAUAGCCACUGAUGGACCAAUACCAGGACACCUUAGCAUUUGAGUAGUAGUCACUAUCAUUCUGGAAAGCUUUUUGAUGGCAGAACAGCUGGUUGUACAAGUUUUACUGCAUACCUGUCAGAUGAGAAGAACCCGAACAUAAGCAAUCAUUCAUCCAGAAACAAUGUAACUGAAAAUGUUAUGAACAGAACAAAUUUCUUAGCAAGGCAUAAUACUUUGUAUUUGUUGCUUUCUUAUGUAUCGGUCUCAUUUUCUACUGCUUUUCUACAGUGUUCCUAUUCAAGGAUUUGUGCAAUGAUGAUUCACUUGUUUACAACAACAAUAUAUCAUGGACUAUAUGGUUACAUCUUAACAAAGUGGUACAUAAAUAAAUAGUGACAAACUGAUGUUUACUUAGGGUAUAAAUAAAUAAAAGCCUUUAGCCUAAUUCAGUAUGAAAAUAUCGACUUGGAAGGUUUCCUYAAGGCUCUUAAUUUUUGGAGGCAUUUCUUUUGCCAAGUGUAAUUGAACAAUAAAACGUGUGGAAGAUCAAAUCUAA